CUCUGCAUGUAGGCACCUUGCAGGACCAGGCCCCAGGUACUCAGCCAGCUGUGCCUGAUACUGUUCCAUCUGUCCCUUCUUUGGAGGGGAUAUAUAAGCCGGCUGGCUGAGGGGGCUUGGGAGAUCCAGUGCCUGCAACGAGAAGAGGACCAUCACCACCCAGAUUUAAAUUCAGUUCUCCGUAUCUUUACAGUUGAAUGGAGGGGGGUAACCCAGAAUGACAAAAAAAGCAUGCCUUUUUGAGAGUGAAGGAUUUAAACACCUCCAGAGGCUGGGAGUACAUCCUCACAAGAAUCCAAAUUCUACAGGAACACCAAAGUAGAAGGCCAAGAGCCUUACAGUGUGGUCUGAAGACCGGUGAUGCAGACACCUUGCAUCUAGGCCUGGUCAGUGCCUGGAUGACGGACUUCCUGGGAACACAGCUCCAAAAAAAGAGGGCAUGUAUUGCCCCCCCCAAAAAAAAGAACAAAAGGGGACACAGACUCGCAUAAAAUGUUUAGAUGAUAAUGUAUGUAUAUAUAUGUUUGUACAGAGAGGGUAAGAAAGAGGGGUGCGCAUUUAGAAAUAGUUACUAUAAUUUAAAUAGAAACAAUAUAUCUCGAGGGGGAAUAGCGCGGCCAUGAGACUUGAGUUCCUGCUGAGUUUGCUGCCCAAGUGCCAAGUGGGGAUGGGCAACUCCAAGGCCCAUCUACUGCCCUCCCUUCUUAUGACUCUUUGUCCUUAAACUGGACAUGCAUUAGGCAGGUCUUCAGACAGAGGACUCCUUCAAAUAAAGGACUACCCUCUGUAAAGUAUUAUAAUUUGAAAGAUUUCUUACCCACUCUUCACCAUAAUAUCCCAGAGUGGUUUACAACAAUAUAAUAUACAAUGAUAAAAGCAGAUUUCAACACUGCAAUGAUGAAACAAGCAAAACUGUUUCAAAUGGAACAGAACAGCACAAAAGAGGUGGGCCCCACAAAACAAGAUACCUUAACUGUUAGAGGCCAAGGUAAAGAGGUGCACCUUCAGCAUACGGCAAAAGCUCUACAAUGAAGAUGCCAGAUGCACCUCUGUAGGGAGGAAAUUCCACAAUUUAGGGGCUGCCACAGAGAAAACCCUCUCCCAGGCUGCCAUUUCCUGAGAUUCUGAGAAUGGCAAAACUACCAAGAGAGCCUCCACUACAGAAUGUAACACCUGAGAAGGUUGGUAGGGACGGAUACAAGGCCUAAACAUUUCGGGCUUUACAUGUGAAUGGAAACACCUUGACGAGUAGGCCACUGUAAUGCCACAGGGUGGUACCCCUGUGCCAGAGUUACUUUCAAUUCAUUAGUGAGAGGCAGUUAGUUCAUGAAUCCCAAUCAGGCCAUUUAAGAACACCAAAUGAUAGGAAGCCUAGUAGCGUUUAUUGCUGAGCAUAUACACAGAAAUAAGCAUAAAAUCUCGUGUUCCUUGGCAGCAGUGUUUAGGAGAUCCCCUGGGGGCAGCUGGUUGCCACUCUGUCACUCCUGGGAGGGGCCUCCAUCACUAUGGUUCUCAGCCUGGGUAGUGCUAUGGCUGUGCAGGAUGAUGUCUCCCUGGUCACUCCCCCCAGCUAUGUCUUCCUCUCUCUGUGUUACAGGUUGCUAGAUAUAGUCUACCCGCCCCCUCCCAUAGAGGAGUCAGGAGAUGGGUGUCUGCUAGGCUUCUGCAAAAUCGAGUGACCUAAUACAGAUGGAAUGUUCCCCUGGGAUUGCUCACAGUUCUCAGGAGCCCUCAAGCAGCCAGCUAGCACAAGCCUGGGCAUUUCAUCUCUAUACACAAUGAUGUAAUAAUUAACCCCAUCCUCUGCAUAGGGGAUGCGCUUCAACAUUUAGCCUUAUACAAGAUCCCACAUAGACCCUAAAUAUAGCAUUUGAGAAAGUCACCUACACCUGCUUAUCUAUACAACAGUCUUUGGCAAUAUAGCCAACUUGGUGACCAGGUAAGCUUUUGUAAUAGGGAGAGAGUUCCUUCUUUUGAUUUCCAGGCCACGUGUUGAUUAUGUGCCCUCUCUAGCCUAAUCCAACCUAUAAACACAACAGGGAAAGGGUGUCAGUGACAGAGGCUGUUUCGCUUCGUCCCCUCCAUGCUACCAGCCCCCACCACAGCCCACCCUCCUCCUUGGACGGCUGCACAAAGAUGCCAUCUGUAGCCUCUGUGCAUUACCGAAAGAUCAUGAGACGAUGCAUAAAUCCCCCAGUCCUGGCUUCUCCAGGCCUUGCUGGUGCUAGACGUUAUUGGCUGCCACGUUUGUGUGAGGACAAUGUGAAGCAGCGCACCUGGGGACACCAUUGCAGUGAGGCUUAAUACCGCCUUCCAUCCCUUCCACUGGGUUGCCCAGCCUCUGUGAGAGGGGUGCAACACGUGUGCAUGUGCAUGAACAAACAGCAGCACAUUACCCUCUUUGAAAUCCAUACAAGCCCUCCUCUCUCUCUCUCUCUCUCUCUCUCUCUCUC